ACUCAAUAUCGCAUUCACUCUCAAAAAAAUUCAAUCAGCCUCUCUAAAAAUCCAAUAAAAAGCGUUGUCUCUCUCUCUCUUUCUCUCUCUCAUUUUACCCUCGCCCAUUCUCCCUGAACCCAAUCGUUCAAAGUAUCCCACCAAGAACACUCUAACCCUAAAAUCCAUGGCCACCUGGGUAGAAAACUCAAGAACAGAGACCCCAAAAGAACCCAAUUCUUCAUUUGAAGCAGACCAACAAGCUGACUCUCCCUCUCAAUUCGUCAAAUUCUCGAGACCCAGGUUCUCAGAUCUCCUCUCUUGCACCCCAAGCAAGCCCCAAACCCUAAUUUCCUUCAUUUUCUUAAUUAUUUAUUUUCACUUUUGGGUGAUGGUUUUUCCUUCAUUUUUUGAUUUUUAUCCUUCUGUAAUUGCACACAAUAGAAGCAUGGCAUUCUUGGGGAGAUGAGAACAACCAUGGUUCUCAGCUAAUGGGCAUCGAUCAGAUUAAUCAUCGAUGUCAAUGGAGCCAUCUUUCAUCUUCACAGGGUCUCUCUCUCUUGAAAUCUUAUAACAAAAUUGAUUACUUAAGCAAGUUGAUCUGAAACCCAAUUGAUCUCUUCACCCAUUUUAACUUUGAUUUUGCAGGGCCCUCUGGUAUCCAUGUCUGCUAAACUAGCAAACAUGCUCAUGAACAAAAAUCCUAGAAUCCCCACCUGCAUUACUUUCUCCGAGUGCCCGGGCGGCGCUGAACUCUUCGAGCUAGCCAUGAAAUUAUGUUAUUCCCAAAAAUCCAAUGUAACUCCCAAUACAUACACCCCACAUAAAUCACCUGUAAUAAUCAUGUUUCUUCCACUCCAUUUUGUACAUUAAAGUACAAAACUUUCAAAAAGUUAAGCUUAUUUCUUUC